UUGCUCAAAUUUGACCUGGCUGUCCCUCAAUGAUGGAGGGAUGGCUGGGCCAAACCUGAGUGGAGAGUGGGCCAGACCUGGACUGGGAAGCUGGCUCAGCCACAUGGGACAGGAGCUGCCACUGUGGGGUGAGCAUGGGGUGGGAUUGCUCUCCAUUCUCCCACCCUCAGCACCCCCAGCUGGGAUUAGGGUUGCAGUGCUGGAGCAGAGGGUGCAUAUAUGUAACUACGUAAUGUGUGCAGAUGCUAAUGGAAAUUAAGAGAAGGAACAGAACUUUACCACCACACAUGAGAUUCAAGUGAAAGGACCUAAUUCUGAAUUCACAAAUGAUCAGGACAUCACAAUAAAAAUCAUGGCCAUCACUCACA